GGUAGAGUGGCCCAGUGUUAAGGNGGCAGGCUGUAGUUCUGUUCACAUGGGUUAGAAUCCUGUUUCUAUC
rnacentral:tRNA from 1 species